GACUUUGAUAAACAAAUAUUAAACAGUAUUGAAAGAGAUGUUAUAGAAAAUUAUUUUCUGGUUAUAUUCCUUUAAGUCCUUCUUGCACUUUUUUUUUUAGUAUAAAGGAGCAUUGGGUUAUUCAACUUUUUACGUGUUUAUAUGGACUUGGAAAGAUAGUAUAUCUAUAUGGGCAUAAGAAGAGCAAGGUUGUCAUUUUUUUAUUAUGAUACAAAAAUGACCAGGAAAAUGCCGUUCUGACUAUAGAUAGGCAGGAGGAACAAGCAACAAGCCUGAGGCCACCAUUUCUAGAGGCAUCAUGAUGAGGAAUAGCAUUGGCUGAGGGUGGGGAGCAGGCAGCUCAGCGUAGGCCAGGGUGAGUGGGCACCAGGAGCAAAAUGCAGAUGAGGUGAGUUGCCCCUCAGACAGUGCCAGUGGGGCCUGACGACAACUGCAGGCAGCCCUCCCCAACCUCUCUGCAUAGACGCAGCACCAGGAAGCAGUCUUUUCCUGACUGGGGAAGGAGAGAGAGUCCUGAACUGAUUGAGAUAACCUGGAAUCAAUUAAAUAGCUUCUUCUGUCCUCAGGUGGAAUGAGGAAUUGAAAUGCAGAUGAAGUUGAGUUCAAGAAAAAUCACGUUUCUUAUGCAGCUGAUGGAAAGAUUCAUACAUUCUUGUGAUGCUGGUCAGUGGGGAGGUAGGCGUUGCGGGAGGCUGUGUGGUUCUGCAGUACUGCUCCUAAGCAAACUCCACGUUGCUGCCCUGGGGAGGACAAAAGGCUGAUUCGCUGAAAGAAUCAUUAACAGAGAUGGCGGAAGGAGCCUCAGCCGUUAUUUGGAUAAAUUUAACUUUUUAAGAUCUACUCAAAUGGAUUGGGUAGGUGGAUACCACUGUGAUCUGUCAUGGAUCUGCACUGACUUGAACUGAGAACUACCAACUGGUGUAUUCUUCAGCCCCAUGAACCAAGACAGCCCUUGAUAUUUAUUAAUCUUUUACUGAUGCAUGAUUAAAGGAAUGCUUUUCUCCUCUCCAAGUUUCAGCGAUCGUCUCCAGGCCAACUGGUGUGGCUCCACUUCAGGAUGCAGGUCUGGGAAUCCACAUCUGUUCCAUGUGUCUCUUAUCCUCCUUGGGCCAGUGGACCAGCUAGUGAUCCUCUUCUUGCAGCAAAAGCAGGAGCACAAGAGUGCAAGCCCCAUUCCUCAAUGACAUUUCAAGUCCUUGCUUGUGACACUUCUGCUCAUGUCCUAUUGACCAAAGGAAGGCAUUUUGCUGAGUCCGACAUCCAUAAAGUGGAGAAAUGCUCCACCCCUGUGAGACCAUGGCAUAGCCAUGAAGGCAUAUAACUACUACAGGGGAGGGAAGAAUUGUCACCAGUAAUUUCAUCUACCACAACACAUUUAUUGGUUAUGAAUUGCUGUGAAUUUCUGGUUCAUAGUCUUUGCUCAUGUUGUCUUGAGUUGCUUGUAUUUUGCUUAUUGUUUUGUAGAUAUUCUUUACAUAAUGUGGAUUCUGAUUUUUAUCUAUUAUAAGAUUAUGAAAAAUCUUAUUUUAGUACAUGGCUUAUCUUUUCACUUUGUUUAUGAUAUUUGUCUUGUAAAGUUUAAAAUUUGACUGCAGUCUAAAUAGUUAUCAGUUUUUUCUUUUACAGUUUGCACUCAUUGUGUUGUUUUAGAAAAUUAUCUGCAUCCUGAGGUCAUUAAUAUACCCUCCAAUGUUAUCUUCUAAGAGUAGUAAAGUUUCAUUUUUCCAUGUAGGUUCAUGAUUUGCUCAGAACUUUUAAGUUUUUUCUAUUUUUUUCUGUAAAUUCUCUUAUAUAUUCUACAUAAAUAAUCAUAUCAUUUAUGAGUAAUAAAAUUUGGUCUUUUUGUUUCCAAUUCUUAAAUCUUUUUUUCUUUUUCUUAUGACACUAAUCCAGAAAAAUGUGGACCAGGAGUUGCACAGCAAGUAUCCCACCCACUCCUUGAUUUUAAUGGAAAUAUUUCCAAUGUUUUACUACUGCAGGAGAUUGAUCACAAAGAAAGUAAUCAGAAAAUAA
ensembl:lncRNA